UUUCUAAGGAUGAUCAAUAAUAGGGCUUUUAAAAGUUCCUCCCUUUUUGAUCUCAUUAGACACAAGGUUUAAACAUGAGUUUGUUUAAAAACAUGAGUUUGUUUAAACUGUGCAUAUGAGGCUAACUCUCAAUGAAUUCCUCUCACCAAAAAGAGACCCCUCUUGAUAACAAAGAGGAUCCCCCCCCGUCUCUUUGAGGCCCCUACCUCGGAUGAGAGAACUAUUUGAGGGCUUAGUGCUCAUGUGUUGAUAUAAUAAAUGCAGAACAUGCCGUCUUCGUUUCUCUUUCUUCAGAUGAUGAUCCCAAGCCUUCUGGCGAUCUCUUAAAACAAAGCCUAACCUAUUUAAAAAAUAGGGCAUUUAGAUAUGCUUUUAAAUUCUUAUGAAUCUUAAAAGUCAUGUAUUUAAAAAAGGCUUUAUGAAGAAAGCACUUUAAGCUUUUCCAAUAAUUUAAGAUGAUACCGGGGAAGGUUUUCCGGUUUAUCCCGGAGGGCUUGUAGCUCAGUUGGUUAGAGCGCGCGCUUGAUAAGCGUGAGGUCGGAGGUUCAAGUCCUCCCAGGCCCACCAAUCACUCUAUCAAUUUGAUGAAGCGCUAGCGAGCUUGCUUAUAGGAUGUUUGCCUAUCAAAUCUGCAAACUGCUAAAAUAGUCUACAAACCAAUAAAGCUUAUAAAUUUGUAAGAAACUGACAUGUCUUGCUGAGUAAUGCCUUAAAGGCAUUUUUUAAAAAAACGAUCAUUUGUCAUAGGACUUCAAUGUAAUGUCAUCACUUGAAUUUUAAGAGUGAAAUUGUUACUUAAAAUGAGGUUCUAUGGAUGAUGAAGCUCUAUUGAUUGAGUUCGUAGAUGAAAAGUGCUUUAUUUAUCAGAGUGUUUGAAAAGAGCAUUUAUCGUUUGCGAAGAGCAUUUGUAAAAUGGAAGAGUUUUGUUGUUUGCUUUAAGUAAUCUCGUGUCAAAGCUCUUUACAGGCAAAGGAAUCCCCUUACGGGUCUUUUAUGGAAAUGUUAUUCAAUUUUAAGAGUUUGGAAUGCUUUAUGCUAUUUUAGGGGCCGUAGCUCAGCUGGGAGAGCACCUGCUUUGCAAGCAGGGGGUCGUCGGUUCGAUCCCGUCCGGCU
rnacentral:misc_RNA from 1 species